CAGGGAGACAACAAAAUGUUAAAUAUUAAUUUUGUCACCUUAGGUCGAUCGGUAUCUCACAUUCUUGAUUUUAUUAAGGAUUUCAUUUCCUAAGUUUUUUCUAGGUCACACCCAUCACUUUUCCUGGGCCAUUAGCUCAGGUGGUUAGAGCGCACCCCUGAUAAGGGUGAGGUCCCUGGUUCAAGUCCAGGAUGGCCCAUAUCUCUAUGUUGGGGGUAUAGCUCAGUUGGUAGAGCGCCUGCUUUGCAAGCAGGAUGUCAGCGGUUCGAGUCCGCUUACCUCCACUGAUCACCACCUCUUCCAUAAAUUUAUAGAAGGGAAUUGUUUUGAGUUGUGAUCAAAAUCUGAAAGAAUCUAGCUUCCUAAUGAAAUCAUUAAGAUGCUGGACUCAUUGAAUUAAUUUCAUUGUUUUCAGAGAACCUUGACAACUGCAUAGAUUAUUUUUAAAGACAAUAAGCAUCUUUAAUGAUGCAGAUUUAUUAUUUGUGCAAAUGCAUUAAUAACAAUUCUAUUAAGCUGAUGCUUCAAUAUUUGAAGUUAUU
rnacentral:tRNA from 1 species